rnacentral:rRNA from 1 species
CGGAGGGUGCAAGCGUUAUCCGGAAUCACUGGGUUUAAAGGGUGCGUAGGCGGCUUGGUAAGUCAGGGGUGAAAGCUUCCCGCUCAACGGGAGAACUGCCCCUUGAUACUGUCAGGCUCGAAUUGGGUUGAGGCCGGCGGAAUGUGGCAUGUAGCGGUGAAAUGCUUAGAUAUGCCAUAGAACACCGAUUGCGAAGGCAGCCGGCCAAGCCUUGAUUGACGCUGAGGCACGAAAGCGUGGGGAGCGAACAGGAUU